CUUAACACCUUUUUAUAUUUUUUCUACUGUGUUAUUUAUAUAUUUAUACAAUGUCUUAUAAAACUUCUUGUUGGCAAGUAGUUCCUGAACUUGGCGGGGAACACUUUGUUGAAUUUCUUCACAUUCACAUAUUUCGCUUACUAAAAUUAAACGUUGAAUAUUAAAAUUUGCACAUUUCAGAACAAUAUGAUCCAGAUCAGCAACUUCAGCAUCACAGUAUUUACAUCGGCUAUCGUUAUAUACAUUUAUUCUGUUCAAGUGAGCUGGCGUUAAGCAGUGUCCUAAUCGCAUGCGAGUUAUAGUUGUUAUAAAUCUUCUAUUAAUAUAUUCACAAUUAUUAAACCAUGGUUUUCUUCGUAAUUCUUUUUGGAUAUCUGCAUACCACUUGCCUUUAUUUUCUAGGGUUAGUGUCCAGUAGUCAUUCCACAAUUUACGGUUGAUCUCUUUGAUGUGGCUGUGGUAAUCUGAAAAUGGAACCUUCACAAGCUCUGUCUGGUCAUCAUAAUGUUCCCAAUGUGUUGCAGCGUCAGCAAUUUCAUUUCCGGGUAUGCCACUGUGCGAAGGCACCCAUACGAACUCUACAUUAAUAAACUUAUCCAGUAGACUUCCACCUAUCAAGGAAGAAGCAGAAAUAUUACAUGAAAUUGACUGAGAGACCCUGUGAUCUACUACCAGUUUCUUAUGUAAAUGACUAUUUGAUGAAAUGAUCUUCAAGAAAAAUCUCUCAGCCAACAUCAACCUACGUAACAUCAAGGGUGGUAUACAUGUCUCAACUUCCAAUGAGUUAAUUGGUGUGGAACGCAUGGCUCCACAAAUAAGUCUCAGUCCCAUAUUUUGGAUUACAUCCAAUUUUCUUAGUAAGGUGGUACUGGCAUUCAUAUAAGCUAAACUGCUGUAAUCAAAAUGACUUCUUACUAUACUUUUGUAUAACAUACUCAUAACUUUGGGGUCAGAUCCCCAAAAACUACCUGCUAAAUAGCGCAAUAUGUUUAUGCCAUUCAGUGCUUUGCUGCAUAUAUGUUUGAUAUGAUCAUCAAACUUUAAUUGAUCAUCAAUAAUAAUCCCUAGGAAUUUAUGUUGUUUAACAAUAGGAAUUUCUACAUUGUUGUACAAAAUUUUCACAUUAAAAUUAGUGUUUCGAUUUUUACUAACAAUUAGAACUGAACUUUUUCCAGGACUUAUUUCUAACUUAAGUUUAUUGUGGUAAUAGUAAUACAAUUGAUUCAAAGCAGUAUUUAUUUUGACCUUAGCUAUUUCUAUAUUUUGAUGUAUGGUAUACAAAAGUAAGUCAUCUGCAAAUUGUAAUAUUUUAACAUCUGGUACAUUUACAAAUUUUAAUAUUUCAGAGGUGUAUAAAUUAUAAAGUAAAGGAGACAGAGUGGCUCCUUGCAUUGUGCCCUUAUUAACAGUCUUAGGGCCAUGUAAUUUAUUGUUGUAUUUUACAAACACAGUUCUAUUGUUCAAAAAGUUGUAAAGCCAUUUAAGUAUAUGACCUGGGAUACCAAUAUCAUGGGAUAUUUGAAUAAGUUCCUCUAUAUUUACAUUGUCAAAAGCCCCUUUUAUGUCUAAAAAUACACAAAUUGCAUUGGAGUGACUUAAUUUAACCUGACCUAUAUCUGAUAAUAAAGAAACAAAGCUUUCAGAGCAACUUUUACCUUUUCUGAAGCCAAACUGAAUAGAAGGGAUUAAAUUUUGUGAUUCAACAAAAUAAUCUAGUCUUGUCUUUAACAUAUUUUCAAAAAGCUUACCUAAACAAGAUGAUAAAGAAAUAGGUCUAUAAGAAGAUGCAUCGUUUAAAGGUUUAUUCGGUUUUAAAAUUGGAAUGACACAUUGUGUCUUCCAAGGCUCUGGUAUAGUUAAUUCAAGCCAUAAUUUAUUAUAAAUAUUAAGUAACGUAGUCUGUGCAUUUAAAUGUAACUGUUUGAUUAAAAUGUAAGGUAUAUCAUCCAAUCCGGGUGUAGUAUCUCUCCUAGACUUUAAAGAUGUUUGUAAUUCCUCCAUAGUAAAAUUGUUCUUGAGAAAAAUAUUUAAACUGUUAUCUGUAGCAUUUUUAAACAAAUAUUCAAGCCUACUCUCAUCUGUUUCAGUAGAAUCUGCUAAGUUAUUUAAAAAACUGGGAACCCACUCAUCAUUAAAGUUUCGAUUUCGAUCAGUACCUAUUUUUUUAAAUCUUUUGAUGUAUCCCCAUAUUCUAGACACUGGUGUUAACCUAUUAAAGCUACUGCAUAAAUUGUGCCAAGAAGAAUUUCUUUCCUCCUGCAAAAUUCUCUUUUUAUUUGCAUCUAACUUCUUGUACAUAAUCCAAUUUUCUAUAUUUGGGUUAGAAAAAUAAUAUUUUAGUGCAUCUUUUGAUUUUUCUACAGCUUCACUACAUUUUUUAUUCCACCAUGGUACUGGCUUUCGUAUAACCGUAUUUGAAGCUAAUUUUCGUUUCGGAAUAGUUUUAUCCUUUAAAUCAUGUAAAGUUUCUACAAACUUAUUAUAUGAGUUGAUAGGGGAAUCUUUAAUUAAAUCAAUAUGAGAGAAACAAGUUUCUGAUAAACUGUUAUAUUUGGACCAAUCUGCUUUACUGUAAAUAUAUUUUUCUUGGUCCACAGGAGGAGACACGUCAUAUGCUGAUGGUUUGAUGUUAACGUCAAGCAAUGUUGGAAGAUGAUAGCUACCCAUAGGGUCAUCAUGAACAUACCAGUUACAUAAAUGAGCGAUUGAAGAGCUAACAAGGGCAAGAUCUAUAGCUGAGGCUUGUCUAUUGGGAUAAGCAACAGUUGUCGGUGAUCCAUCAUUCAAAAUACAUAAGUCAAAUUCAUCAAUAAUAUUAAGCAAACAUCUACCUCUAUUGUUAUCACUUUGGCAUCCAAAAGCUAUGUUAUGAGCAUUAAAAUCACCCAUGAUAAUACAAGGUUUGGGUAUAUUAUUGAUUAGUUCCCUUAACUUUACUAAAUCGAAUCUGAUACUUGGUGGACUAUAUACACAAAGUAUUGCCAUAGACCCAUAUUGUGUUUCAAUAGUAAUACAUACAUUUUGUAUAGAUUCUGAGAAGUGUGUGUGAAUGACUUGGUACUUUAAACGAUGACUUACCAAAAUAGCUACUCCAUUAUGGGAAUUCUGUGAAUUUUUGUGAAUUAAAUUAUAUGAGGGAAAGUGGGGAAUUAUGGAAGUAGAUUUGAACCACGUUUCGUUAAGUAGACAGACAUCUAUAUUUUUUUCAAUAAGUAAAUUUUGUAAAAGGCUCUUUUUACUCUGCAAACUUUGUAUAUUGUACUGUAAAAUAUGUAUGUAAUUAUCCAUAAAUUAAAUUAAAUUAGAUAAAAA